ensembl:piRNA 21ur-2593 ncRNA
UUUAUCUAUUAAAUGAUUGGC